GAUCCUGCCGGACCCUACUGCUAUCGGGGUGGGACUAAGACAUGCGAGUCGUGCGUCUCUAGGCCACGGUGGAGACGCGGCAUACGGCUCAGUAACACGUGGCCAACCUACCCUUAGGACAGGGGCAACCCCGGGAAACUGGGGCCUAUCCCUGAUAGGUGAGGAGGCCUGGAACGGUUCCUCGCCUAAAAGACGUUGAGACCAUGCCUUUCAAUGUUGCCUAAGGAUGGGGCCGCGGCCGAUCAGGUUGUUGGUGAGGCAACGGCUCACCAAGCCUAUAACCGGUACGGGUCGUAAGAGCGGGAGCCCGGAGAUGGGCACUGAGAUAAGGGCCCAGGCCCUACGGGGCGCAGCAGUCGCGAAAACUCCGCAAUGCGCGAAAGCGUGACGGGGCUACCCCGAGUGCCGUCCGCUGAGGAUGGCUUUUCCCCGGUGUAAUGAGCCGGGGGAAUAAGGAGAGGGCAAGUCUGGUGUCAGCCGCCGCGGUAAUACCAGCUCUCCGAGUGGUAGGGAUGAUUAUUGGGCUUAAAGCGUCCGUAGCCGGCUCAGCAAGUCUCCCGUUAAAUCCAGCGACCCAAUCGUUGGACUGCGGGAGAUACUGUUGGGCUAGGAGGCGGGAGAGGCCGGCGGUAUUCUCGGGGUAGGGGUGAAAUCCUAUAAUCCCGGGAGGACCACCAGUGGCGUAGGCUGUCGGCUAGAACGCGCUCGACGGUGAGGGACGAAAGCUGGGGGAGCGAACCGGAUUAGAUACCCGGGUAGUCCCAGCCGUAAACGAUGCGGGCUAGGUGUUAGGGUGGCUACGAGCCACCUUAGUGCCGCAGGGAAGCCAUUAAGCCCGCUGCCUGGGGAGUACGGCCGCAAGGCUGAAACUUAAAGGAAUUGGCGGGGGAGCACCACAAGGCGUGAAGCUUGCGGUUCAAUUGGAGUCAACGCCGGG
rnacentral:rRNA from 1 species